ensembl:processed_transcript uncharacterized LOC110285832
ACAUUCAAAAGGAUGGGAGUACACUCUCUUUUCAGAAUAUGGUUCAUCUCAAAGCCCUUUACACUUUGGAGCCAGGCCUGUUCAAGUUUACAAAUAGCANAUUUUGCUUGUAGUCAGGUAGGUAUUGAUGGCUGGUGCUUUCUUAGGGAGCAUAUUUAGAUGGCCACUUAAUGAUGAACAAUGUAAAUGGCAAGCAUAUGCCUGAGUUGCAGUGAUGUCAUCUUACUACUGAAAAGUGGGCUGAAGAAAGAAGGUGCUGAGGUGGCUGUGAAUGCAUUUAAAAUGACAUUGUUUCUGUUUCCAGGGUACUGUGACAACGUGAAGAGCUCAAGCUGCCUCCCAGGAUGAGUACAGGUUUUCCUGGUGAUGAUGAAUCUCAGGCAUUCAAAGGUUCUGUUAGCAGUGCCAUGCUUGUUGGCUCACAGAGAGGGUGUGUCUGGCUGAGAGCAAAGGAGCCAUACCAGGAAAGUUAAAGCGUAUUUUCAUCUUCAAGUCCAGGCUAAAAUAAGGUCUGAGGAAAAGAAUGAGCUGUGAGUGAAAGAUAGGAACAGAAAUCAUGAAAGAUCUGUUUGUCCAGGCCAGUGUUUCACCAUAAGAGAUCACUUUAAAAUAGAUGAAAUAAUUCUUUGCAAUUGCAAAUUUACCUUCCUUGCUUAACCACAUUCAUUGUUAACUGUAGGAGCUGAUAUCUGGUCCUUCCAUUGAUGACUUGUAGCUCUGUAUUCUAGCAAUAAACGCUCUUUAUGCUA